rfam:Myotis lucifugus cont2.12151, whole genome shotgun sequence.
CUGUCUCUUGCUUCAACAGUGUUUGGAUGGAAUAG